AAUGAAGUGCCUGAUUAAAGGGCUAUUUUGAUAGAAUAGAUUAAGUAAUUUUACCUUCAUUA
rnacentral:tRNA from 1 species